UAAUAUAGUAAAAGUACGAAAAGGAGAAGGAUUUGAUCCACUUCUCAAAUUUUCAUAUUCGUCUUGUAAUUAUUCAUCAGUUCUCAUCUCAUUUCAACUUCCGUCUGGUCUGAAAAUUUUCCGGAAAGGUUUCGACAAUGGGCGAUUCCGGAGAUAUCGACGACAUUGGAGAAGGCCUAUGCGGAUGUACACCGCGAUUGCGGCCAAAGAAUCAGCGGCGUAUUAAUGAUUUCGAAUAUGAAAGGUUUUCGGUUUCGAUUGGAGAGUUUUCACGAAUCAGGAUGAAGCACUUCGGAUGCUUGUUAGACGCCUAACGAAGAAUGAAUAGUAAGGUUAGAGAAACCGAGAUGAAUAACAUUGGGCUCAAAAUUGAAGCAAAAUAUGUAGUGAAGGUCAAGAUAUAGGGUAAGAGAUGCGAGAAGAUCAGGAUAGAUGUGAUAAAGUAACGAACAGGAAAUAAGAAACUAAAUGAGAAAAUUUAGCAAAAAAUAUGGCUACUAAGAUAUGUAUGUCAUUGCGGCCUCAGAACUCUCUUAGUCAUGCUGUCAUGGUGAGUCCACGGUUAUGGUUCUCAUCUGGAACGAACAGCUCGUGACCUGGGAAAUGGACAUGUCAGGCAAGUGCAAGCUUAAAUGAUGUACCAGUGAUAUUGAUUUUUCCUUCAUUAAAAGAAGCACAGAAUUAAAACCUUUUAAAAGUGGCUAUAGAAUCUGUUUAGUGGAAAAGUCAGUUUUCUUGGAGGUUCCUUCCAUGAAAUACAUAGCAGAAGAGAUCAGAAGACCUAAGGGGUACGACCAAACAUGUCUAAAAUUGUGACAUAUUGAAAAGGAUGAAGCAAUACAUACACCAGCUGCUAAGAAGAAUUCUGACAUAUUGAAAAGAUGCAAUCAAAGGUAGCAGUAUUAAAUGUCAGUUUCCAGAAAUGGAAAAAGUUACAAGAAAGAAAAUGGUUCUCCAAACUCCAACCAGGAGACCAUUGAGAUACAUCAUGACCUGUUCAUCAUUGCUCUGGAAUUCCAUUUGUAGACAGCACUUAACUAAUCGGAAACAAUUUAUCAAUCACAAAUGAUUGUGUACUCUCAAAAACAUUUUUCAAAGUUCUAUCUGAAAAGGAUGAGGUGUUUACAGCACAUGCACAAAUGCUGAAAGUGAUAUAGGAGUCUGGUGAAACCUUUUGGAAUGUAUGCAUCUAACCAUAUCAACCAACAAUGUUGUUGAGCCGUUAAAAGGUGGUUAACUAAGUUUGACAAGACUGCUUCUGAUUUGAAUGAUGACUCCCACAUGCAACUUAUAAAUAUUUACGUUCUUAAGCCACAAUUUGUAGAAAGCACAAGGACUUGCCAAAUAACUCAGACUGUAAUUCAUCUUGUAAUGAGAUCAUUCAAAGAGGAAGAUGGGGAACAAAGGAAUUGAAGCUUCGUGGUUGAAUUCUCAAGAUGUUGGCAAGCAGCACAUUUUGUGCAUGAGAUUAUCAUGAUCCGUCAUCAUAUUGAGCAAUCAAUUAGCUGGAUAAAGUCAGCAAGGUGAGGAGACUCCAAAGUUGGAUUUUGCUGAAUUAGAAACAUGUAACAUUUGGGAAUCACGAAACAUUUUCAGAUUUGACACCUUUAUGCAAGGAGAGGAAGAUACGAGUGCAAGAUUAACAGGCUAAAGUAAGCAUCUUUUCCCCGUUUGACGGCAAAGUUAGUGGCAGACCACAAGGCCUUCAAAAUAUUGUCCGUAGAGCAUGCCUCUGCAAUGCCUUGUUAUCUUUUAUUUCAUGGAUCAUUGCUGCUCUAUUCAUACACAAAUGGUGGUAAGUAGUUUUUACCUUUAAUCAUGGCGUUAUUGAACCCUUACUUUUUUACUUUUUCGCAUUUCAUUUUUAACCCUGACCGCCAAUAGAUGAGUUAGAGAAGGUUAAAUUGUAAAUUUAGUUUAUAUGUACGGACACAAAUAGAAUUUAGUCUACAUAAUUUGAUAAAACAUUUAUAAGUAGUCCUUACGAUGGAGAUUAUUUAUGAAGUUUUAUCACACCAUAGAAGGGACACAUCUUAUACCAACGAGAUAGAAUAUAUAGGUGCCAAUUGAGGAUGAGGAGAUUUGAACCGAAAAUCUCUUUUUCGGUACACAAGUGUCAAAUGAACUAAAGCUCUUGUUGGUAGAUCUCUUACCUCUUGAUCAAAUACAUAUGGUUUAACUAAUUAAACAAUUUUGAUCGAAAACUUUCUUUUAGUUGGUUGUACCUAAUUUUUCGUUUUAAAAAAAUUAUUUAUUGUUUUGUUUUAUUUUUAUUUGUUUGUUUGAUUUUAUUUUUCCUUAGAAACUAGAAUAGUUAGCCAUAUUGAAUUAUAAGUGUAAUGUGAAAUUUUGAUUGAUCGGUAGAUACUUUCUUAAAUUGAAUAAUUCAACUUGAACAUGAAGAAACAAUAUAAUUUUCCCGAAAUGUUAUGGAUCUGAAAAUGCUGCUCAUGUGGCUGAGCUGUAGGAUAUAAAUUUGAGUGUUGUUUUUUUUUCUUUUUUUUUUUUUUUUAAAAAAAAAGCUGGAAAUUGAAGCAUUAGUUUCUUGUUUGGUUUGUUUCUUCAAUAUAAAUUACUCAUAACAUACGUAUCAACUAGAGGGGGUGGGGCCUUAUCCCCAUGCAACUGUCUUCCUUUUGUUUAAUUCCUUUUCCUUUAAGAAAAUAUAUUAUAUUGCUUAUCAUCAUCAUCAUCAACCAUUUUUUUUUUCUUUUUUAACUUUUCAUAAAUUGGGAGCAUUGCGUAUUAUGAUGAACAGCAUCGUAUGGUAUACGAGAAAAGGAAAGAAACAAAAUGAUGAUUGGAGCUGUGAGGAGAAAUGGCCAAUGGAUUAACCAUAAAGCCACCCCGUCGCUGGAUGUGAAACCUAUGAUUCUCCAGAUUCAUUGAUCCAACAUCUACAUUGGUUCCAUGGCGAUCGCCUGAUCUGCUGCGGAUUGGAGCCAAUGGAGUUGCACGAAUGGGAGUUGAGAACUUUGAGGUUGAGUGUCUGCUUUCUGCUCUCUUCCAGAACCUUGAGCUCAAAAAAUCAGCUCCUGGUAGUAGGCAACAAGUGGUUGUGGGAGUAUUACCAUAAGACAUCCUUCCACUUGAUACAGCUAGAUCAUAUGAGAUCUCAUCCAAUGCCAGUUCGAGACCAUGUACACGCGUCUCCAAGGAUCGCAUUCCGUUCUGGGAACUCCCAAUGAAGUUCUAAAAAUGGUAGAUAAGGCAAAACACAAGUGAGAUUGAUAGCACUUAAUAACUGUAUUGCAAUGAGUGGUCACUAGACUGCACAUUGCAGAGAAUCCCAAUGUAAUUCUGAAGUUGGACAGUAGUUUGUAUUCGAUGAGAAACGUACUUUUUGGGAGAAAACGAUAGAGAAGUUAUAAAUGGCAUGAACAUGUGUAUACUUCAAAAAUCAUAUUCGAACAAUGGAUGGGAUAUCAAAUUUGAUCUUUAAGGAAGAAAACCAUGUUAAUUCCGUUGGGCUAAACAUACUUUGGUAAUGUACGAUGAAGAUUUCAUUUUGUUCAUACAAUGUCCCUGGAAUAUUUCGUUUAUGGAUUCAAUAUUCUAUGUGCUUGUCGUCUAUUGUUCUAUCUACAUUGUACAAGUACUUAUAUAUUUCCUGUA